CUGGUUGAUCCUACUAGUAGUCAUAUACUUGUCUCAAAGAUUAAGCCAUGCAUGUGUAACAAUGAAUUAAUUUAGACUGUGAAACUGCGAAUUGCUCAUUAAAUUAGUUAUAGUUUAUUUGAUGGUACCUACUGCUCAGAUAAUUGUAGUAAUUCUAGAGAUAAUACGUGCAACAAAUCCCUACUUCUGGAAGAGACCCAUUUAUUAGAUAAAAGGUCGACGUGGGCUUCGCCUGUUGCUGUGAUGAUUCAUGAUAAUUUGACGGAUAUCACGGUCUUCGUGCCGACGAUGCAUCAUUCAAAUUUCUUCCCUAUCAACUUUCGAUGGUAGGAUAGUGGCCUACUAAGGUGGUGAUGGGUGAUGGAGAAUUAGGGUUCGAUUCUGGAGAGGGAGAUUGAGAAAUGGCUACCACAUCCAAGGAAGGCAGUAGGCGCGCAAAUUACCCAAUCUUGAUACAGGGAGGUAGUGACAAUAAAUAAUAAUACUGAGCUCUGAGAGUCUGGU
rnacentral:rRNA from 1 species